rnacentral:rRNA from 1 species
AUUGAACGCUGGCGGCAGGCCUAACACAUGCAAGUCGAGCGGUAGAGAGAAGCUUGCUUCUCUUGAGAGCGGCGGACGGGUGAGUAAUGCCUAGGAAUCUGCCUGAUAGUGGGGGAUAACGUCCGGAAACGGACGCUAAUACCGCAUACGUCCUACGGGAGAAAGUGGGGGCUCUUCGGACCUCACGCUAUCAGAUGAGCCUAGGUCGGAUUAGCUAGUUGGUGGGGUAAAGGCUCACCAAGGCGACGAUCCGUAACUGGUCUGAGAGGAUGAUCAGUCACACUGGAACUGAGACACGGUCCAGACUCCUACGGGAGGCAGCAGUGGGGAAUAUUGGACAAUGGGCGAAAGCCUGAUCCAGCCAUGCCGCGUGUGUGAAGAAGGUCUUCGGAUUGUAAAGCACUUUAAGUUGGGAGGAAGGGUCGUUACCUAAUACGUGACGAUUUUGACGUUACCGACAGAAUAAGCACCGGCUAACUCUGUGCCAGCAGCCGCAGUAACAC